rnacentral:lncRNA from 1 species
GGAUGGAACUUGCAGAGGAGCAGGAAGGAGGAGGAGAAUAAAAUGAAAUUAUGAUACUGGAUAUAAUGGCUGCAUUAGAGGGGGAGAUUGUGUGUGUGUGUGUGUGUUCAAACUCCCUUCACUAAUACCCUCCACUGAUCCUAAGAGUAGGAUACAUGGUCUAUGUAUUAGGGUUGGUUUUUUUUUAACUUUCACCAGAUGAGUAGCUCACCUUUUUUCCAAGUCUUACAUCUUAGAUAUCCCUUACACUACUUCUGGGCAAUUCAUUGGCCAGAUAUUGAGAACUUAUUCAUGCCUACUGAAAUAAGUUAACCCACACUAAUUCAUCUCUACCUAUAAAUCUACUUUCUACAACUAGUUAAAUGAAAUCCCCUUAGUCAAUAUAUAAAAGUGGGAAGAAAUUGAAGGUAGCAGAAACAAGCUUAAAGGAAGGGUCUCACUGAUAGUUGUCUUCUGGAGUUUUGAGUAGCUCUGUUGGAAAUCACUCUCAGCAUCAAACAGGAUUCACAGGAAUAGGCAAAAUCACAAGGAAAGCCACAGGAGAGAGAAUAUCUGGCUUUCUAGGUGCACCCCAGAAGAAUCAGAUUCAAACUCAACUCCUGGCUGCUUUAUUGUCCCACUCAGAAGAAGAAACUGCCUGUCCCUUCUCCAGAGUUCUGGAACCUUGCCCUUGCUUCUGCCCCGUAGCAUUUCCUGCUCCUGGUUUGUAACAUUGCUCUUGCUCCUGCUAAUUUCCCUUUAACACCACCAAAUGCUUUUUUCUUUCUUUUUUUUUGUUGUUGUUGUUUGAAUCAAAACUUUGUUUCUUCGGAAACCUUAAGAAAAGGAAAAAGUCAGAAGAAACCUUGGAAGACAUGUAUAAACUGAUGCAGUUAAAGGGGCAGAACAAUUUAUUCAAUGACAAACCUGGAAAGACAUUCAACCUUGAAAGGUUUAAGGAUGCUGACUAAUGAUGAAGCAUGUUAUCUACACUACCACAGCGAACUGAUGGAUUUAAAAAAAAACAGAAAAAAGAAAGAAGAGGAGAGUUGGUAUUUAUAUGGUGAUUUAAAGUUUGCAAAGUACUUUACAAAUAUGAUUUCACUUCUCUUCCUCUCAACAAUUCUGAAAGGAUUUUCUUGA